AGUCGCUCAGUCGUGUCCUACUCUUUGUGACCCCAUGGACUGCAGCCCGCCAGGCUCCUCUGUCCGUGGGGUUUCCCAGGCAAGAAUACUGGAGUGGGUGGCCAUUUCCUUCUCCAGGGGAUCUU